rnacentral:rRNA from 1 species
AUUGAACGCUGGCGGCAGGCCUAACACAUGCAAGUCGAACGAGUGGCGGACGGGUGAGUAAUGUCUGGGAAACUGCCUGAUGGCUGGGGAUAACUACUGGAAACGGUAGCUACUACCGCAUACCAUCAGAUGUGCCCAGAUGGGAUUAGCUAGUUGGUGGGGUAACGGCUCACAAGGGCGACGAUCCCUAGCUGGUCUGAGAGGAUGACAAGCCACACUGGAACUGAGACACGGUCCAGACGCCUACGGGAGGCAGAGGUGGUGACUAUUGCACAAUGGGAGCAAGCCUGAUGCAGCCAGGCCGCGUGUAUGAAGAAGGCCUUCGGGUUGUAAAGUACUUGCAGCGGGGAGGCGUGACCCGCAGAAGAAGCACCGGCUAACUCCGUGCCAGCAGCCGCGGUAAUAC